rnacentral:lncRNA from 1 species
AAUUCUCCUUUGCAAGGUCUAAUUAGAAUUUGGAAAAUUAAUAUAGCAGUUAGUAAUCUAAAUUUCAGUGAGAAAUUGCUCGUUUUAGUCCCCAUUCUAAAAGUGAGAAAAGGCAACAACAAUAACAAAAUUUUUGUCUUCAUGAUCCCCAGGUAAAUGCUAAAGGAGUUAAUGUUUCACAUUAUUUGGCCUUAGUAAAACCAUAAGUCCUCUUCCUAAUUGAACCUAUUCAGAAGAUCUAUUCAAGAUUGUAUUUCUAAAGGCAGAUUAUUAGUUAUCUCUAACAAUUUUCAUUUUCCUUUAGGCAAGGGGAAAAAAGGCUCCUAACAUGAAAGAAAUUAUUUCAUGGCCAUUCAUUUUCUUACUCAUAGAUGCAUAGACCUGGCCACACAAAGACCACUGCUGUUUCUGGCUAUAACAUAAAUAUUUAAUUAAAGGAAAACCUACUUUGAACCAUACUUAUGCUCAUAAGGCAUAAAGUGUACUAGCCUUGGGCUACACUAAUGUCAUUUCCCAAAAACAUCUGUUACUUAUCCCAGGGUUUUUGCCAGUUUUGCAAACUCAGAAAGCUUUCGCCUGGCUAUCCAAAUGUGUUUAGGAGAUGAAUUUUUAACCUUUGAGCUGCUAUAUCCUAAAGAGAAUAGCCAACCAAUUACCACUAUUAGAAUCUAAACUUAAAAUGAGAGCGUCCUGCUGGGUGUGGUGGCUCCGGAAGCUGAGACAGGAGGAACUCCAGUUCAAAACCAGCCUCAGCAAAGGCGAGGCACAAAGCAACUCAGUGAGACCCUGUCUCUAAGUAAAAUACAAAAUAAGGCUGGGGAUGUGACUCAAUGGUUGAGUGCCCCUGAGUUCAAUCCCCAAUACCAAAAAAAAAAAGAGUCCUAAAAACCAAGCUUUUAGCCCCAUUGUUCCUCUGUUUUAAGUUUGGCCAUGUUUAGCUUUUGAUUGCCUGGAAACUCCAGUAAUCUGCAGAUAAUGCUUUAAUUCAUUGUUGCUUUAGUAGUAUUCUCAUUUUAAAUUACUAAUAAUGUGUUGUAAAUAAAUGACUACUUCCAAAGAUUCUUCUUUGGGCUGGGGUUGUGGCUCAGUGGUAGAGCGUUCACCUAGCACAUGUGAGGCCCUGGGUUUGAUCCU